rnacentral:rRNA from 1 species
CCUACGGGAGGCAGCAGUGAGGAAUAUUGGUCAAUGGACGCAAGUCUGAACCAGCCAUGCCGCGUGCAGGAAGACGGCUCUAUGAGUUGUAAACUGCUUUUGUACGAGGGUAAACGCAGAUACGCGUAUCUGUCUGAAAGUAUCGUACGAAUAAGGAUCGGCUAACUCCGUGCCAGCAGCCGCGGUAAUACGGAGGAUUCAAGCGUUAUCCGGAUUUAUUGGGUGUAAAGGGUGCGUAGGCGGUCGGAUAAGGUAGAGGUGAAAUCCCGAGGCUUAACUUCGGAAUUGCCUAUGUGACUGUUCGACUAGAGAGUAGUUGCGGGAGGCGGAAUGUAUGGUGUAGCAGUGAAAUGCUUAGAGA